GCUGAAUAGCUGAGAGGCGCACCCGGGCGGCCAGCUGGGCUCGGAGUGCAGCGGGGUUAGGAUGGACGAGGACGUGUUGCACCCUGAAGAGCCUCAUCAUCGGUGAGAGUGGGGUGGGCAAGUCCAGCCUGCUCUUGAGGUUCACAGAUGAUACCUUUGAUCCAGAACUUGCAGCAACAAUAGGUGGUCCACUUUACAUCACUUUCCAGACAACUGGAAUUUGAGACAAUGUCUGUGACAGCAGUCCCUUUGUUUUCACCUGGCAUAUGUUCUCAUCAUACUGCUUGCAGUCAUAUCAUGCUGCAGACAAUGCAGGAAUCACAUGAACCUGUCCAUCCACAGAUAAAGUGGUAAAGAAACUGCCGUAUUAGAUACAUGAUGGUAUACUCUUCAGCCAUAAAGCUUCGGGAAACCCUGUCAUCCGCAACCACGUGGAGAAACCUGUCCAUCCACAGAUGAAGGGAUCAGGAAGCUCUGGUAUAUAUACUGAAGGGAAAUGCUUUUUGGCUACCAAAAUAAUGAAAUUUUGUUGUUUGGAGCAACACAGAUGAACCUGUCCAUCCACA
rnacentral:lncRNA from 10 species